GAAGCCAUUCAACAGUGGCCCGUUCCCAAAACAGUGAGGUCUGUCCGCAUAAUACAUGUGGUGGCUCCUGAUCAGGCUGAAGGUGAACAUCAACAACAGCAGAGACAAUCUAGAAAAACUGCCAGGAUGAUCAGAAGGAGAGGUGGCAGGGCUUCUCAGGAGUUAAGCUUGGGAACACUGACUGCAAGCUUUUGAGGGAAAGCCUGGCAGUACAGAAAGGAGGAUGAAAAAUAGAAAAAAUGGAUUUGAGAUGUAGCUCUACCUCUGGGGACAGAUCCC